rnacentral:rRNA from 1 species
GAUCGGAAUCGAUUUCCGUGCAAGCGGUUUUUGUUUUUUUGNUCGGGGNUCAUAAAANCNUUUUGAUUGCCCNGUGGCCCANGNNANANCCUUUGGCGUUUUUAAAANGNUUANCGGCGANUUUUUNACCAAACNUUNGGANCCCCNGCCNCGCCACUNGCCNGGUNCCUUUGACACNGUUUUNGGNGGACGUUCCCCCUACCCUAAUGGGCGCUNUNACGUUUUUUUUUCUCGGGACUUUUUCGGAGGUUUCCGGGUUAGAAUCACACAAGGGAUGUUUCGCUCGGGGGUAAGCGUGCACGGGGGCACAAACACGUCCGAUUUCCGACGGCCCGGAGGCGCACCGCCGGCCCGCUUUAACCGCCCUCGGUGGUAACAAUAAAUUUUUCGCGUUUAGCGGCCCUUUUAUGACGUUUUCUUUGCUUGCCGUUUUUGUUCCCGUCUCUUUUCUCGUAUUGCUUCUGGAGGGGUUCCAGUUCGUCUGGGCCCCGAAAGUUCUUGCGGGUUUUUGGAUUGGUUCUUGGCGGUUGAGUUGUGUUCUCGUUUUGAGGGUGUCUGAGCGGCGCGGAAAGCCCGAAAGUCGGCGAGGCGGAGCAAGAGCACACACGUUGGGACCCGAAAGAUGGUGAACUAUGCCCGGGCAGGACGAAGCCAGAGGAAACUCUGGUGGAGGUCCGUAGCGAUUCUGACGUGCAAAUCGAUCGUCGAACCUGGGUAUAGGGGCG